GACAUCGGAUCAGUGUGAGAGGUUAUGUGAAAUCAUACGAUAUAUCUAUGUCACAUGAGCUCACUUUUAUGUGAAAGUUUAUCUGCCUAUUGUAUAUGAUGAGAUGUGCAUAUUCGAUAAAGGGAUGGUAUGCCCGAAGGAAGAGUGAAAUAAAAAUACGAACAACUAUGUUAUAAUUUGAUCGUUAUCUAUUGACACUGCUUAAAACUUACUAAGCAUUGUAAUGCUUACUCUGUUUACUCUGUUUCCUCUGUUUUAUAGAUCUCAUUUGGAAGCUACAGGCUCGGGGAUCAUCAGCAACUAGUCACACUAUCACUAUCCAUUGUUUGGUACUGCUACGUUUUGGAUUAUCUUAUGGCAUGUAUGGAAUAGACUAGUGGCG
rnacentral:lncRNA from 1 species